ACUAAUCUAUUAACGAAGUUUAAUUGCGCGGAAUAUAUUUGUUGGUGGCUUUUAGAUAUCCUAGCCAUUGCACACCCGCCCAACCAAUUAUGCCCUGAAGGACAUUUUGUCUGCUUACUUAUAUUUAAUUCUGCAUUUCCCCUUUAUCAGAACCUGCAAAUACCCAUUUCAGACCGCCGUUUGAUUUUUACGGAGCUCAAAGCGGUAACCUUUUGGCAAGUGUUUAACUUUAGGUGUGCUUACAAAAAUAAUUGGCCAGAUUGGCCAGCGCUGAUUACGGCACCAAUUUCGGAUGUCGAAGUCACCCGGGUCACUAAUCCUGGGGAGCUCCACGGGAAUAGAAAGGACGUGCACAAGGGCAAGUACAAUUAAACAAUUUCCACUUAUAGUUAAAUUUUGCGACCCAAAUCAAAUUUAGUUGGACAUGCGGCAAAAAGGGGAUUUCAUUUCGGGCUAGCUGUACAGUGAUACCGCUGAAGCACUAAAGGUGCCUGCUGGAUAAGAACGUCUGCAGGACAUCAGUGGUUGAAGACAGCCCUGAGGCAGUGCGUCGAUGGCGAAAAUGGCCUGGAUGCUGUGCGUCAACUGCCGAAAGUGUAUCGGAAGUAGUGCGUCAUCACGGUGUCGGUGGCCGCAGGAGUGAGCUAGUUGGGCGGACUCAUCGUGGGACUGUUGCUGCGAUUGGCUUGCUUCUCCGCGUUCGUCGGUGGGUAGCUUGUUGCUCGACGACCAGGUGGUAUCAGGCGACCAGGCUGUUCGACGAGGUUAGGACCGCCAGAUAAUUACGUUCCGCACGUACUCAAAACUUCCGUGUCCCUCUAUAUAGGGUCUUCGGUGGCACUAUUUAACAAAAUCUGUUUAUAACAAGUAUUUUUAGAAUUAUAAACUGCAUACUUUAAUUCUGUUAAAAGAAAGAAUGACUAUGACUUUUCUCGAGAGAUUUCGAGAGGCGCUACCCGAAGCUGCAGCAGAACAUAGAAAUAAUUUGUAGCUUUGGAGACCCGGUAACUGACAUCAAGGCGGCACUGAAAUUGAGAUGCAGUUCCAACAGCGCCUUGCGCGGGGCCCACGCUUGCCGGGAAGUAUUACUAUUAAUAUCCUGCGCUCGUAUACUUUGUCUGCUUUUCCUUGCAGGUAAUAAACGGAUGUCUAUGGCGUGGUAAACCGAUAUUGCGUCUUUGCAAGUCCUCCAACAGGUACGCGUUGUUGCCAACUGACUUCACGUUUGGCGUUGAGAGAUUUGCUGAAGUUGCUCAGUGCAAAGUUUCGCCUGACCACCUCCUGAUCAGGCCUAGCAAGUAGUGACUUGUCGUGCUUCUGGACCUUUUCGUGGAUUUACACGGGGUUUGUCGGAAGCCUGCAUCUCUGCCAUUUCAUGGUCACACAGCGAUCUUAGCUUCCUCGCCAGUUUAUAACUCGCCCCCUUGAGGAACAUAUGUAUCCAAAUACAAUAAAGAACGGAGCUUCUCCGGUGGCUGAGUAACCAGUAUUUCGGAUAGCCACUUCAAUCUCCGUCAGAUGCACGUCCCACUCCCAAUGAUCCUCGUCCAAGAAGCUGCGAAUCGCGGCCAGAACAUUUCUAUUCACCUGUUCCGCCGCAUUACUCUGGGAGGUGAACUGUCUUCCGUUAUUCUUAUUGAACACCUCGUUCACAACGUUCGACGCGGACGCAUCCUUUAGGAACGUAUAUUUUGAAAAAUGAUCCACCUUCAUGAAAAUCCACGCUUGACCACGUUUGGACCUAGGAUAUUUUCCAAGAAAGUCAAUGUAGAGUUUCUGGAAUGGCCUCUACGUCUCGACCCUUUUACCUAUGACGACCUGCACUCAAAAUGUUGGUGCUUUCGACUCCUUACAUAUAUCGCAAUCUGGCACGAACGCAUGCACCUGGAUAGUCAUCCCUGGCCAAUAGAACUAACGUCGCAGCAUUUCCAGCGUUUUCGCCAUCCCAGCAUGAGCUGCCGUGAUGUCCGAAUGUGCUUCUUUAAUCAGGCUGUGGAUGAGGCUCUGCGGAAUCCACAACUUCCAUUCGGAUUCUUCGAGCUCAUCGUCCAGCAAAUUCGGUCGUCUCGAAACCUAACAACUCCGUCGGAUCUAUCCGGAGUUCUUCAACGCAUCGAGACAAUGUAUCAGCAACUACGUUUUGGCUGCCAUUACGGUGUUCGAUAUCAAAAUUGUACCCUUGCAGCUGCAGGGACCAUCUCGCAAGACGUCCGAAAAAGUCUUUCAUCGUCAUUAACCAUGUCAGACUGGCGUGAUCGGUUAUGCACGUAAACAGGAUUCCUUCAACGUAUGCCCUGAAUUUACGAAUGGCUAAGAUGCCCGCCAGGCACUUCUUUUCCAUGACAGAGUAGUUCACCUGGUGCCGGUUCAUCUUGGCCGAGAAGAACGCUAUCGGUUGCUCCUCCCCAUCCUGGUUUCUUUGAAUCAACACCGCACCGACCCCCAAAUGGGAAGCGUCGCACUGGUUAUCGAAAUGUUUCUUAAUAUCCGCAUGUACCAGGACCGGUGCGCUCGUCAAGGCCAACUUUUUGAAGGAGACAUCUCCGACCCUAUAAAGUAUAUAUAUUCUUGAUCAGCAUCACUAGGAGAGUCGA